rnacentral:rRNA from 1 species
UCGACUCCUACGGGAGGCAGCAGUGGGGAAUAUUGCACAAUGGGGGAAACCCUGAUGCAGCCAUGCCGCGUGUGUGAAGAAGGCCUUCGGGUUGUAAAGCACUUUUCAGCGAGGAGGAAAGGGGUGUGUGCUAAUACCAUACAUCUGUGACGUUACUCGCAGAAGAAGCACCGGCUAACUCCCGGUUGCCAGCAGCCGCGGUAAUUACGGAGGGUGCGAGCGUUAAUCGGAAUUUACUGGGCGUAAAGCGUGCGCAGGCGGUUUGUUAAGCGAGAUGUGAAAGCCCCGGGCUCAACCUGGGAAUUGCAUUUCGAACUGGCAAGCUAGAGUCUUGUAGAGGGGGGUAGAAUUUCAGGUGUAGCGGUGAAAUGCGUAGAGAUCUGAAGGAAUACCGGUGGCGAAGGCGGCCCCCUGGACAAAGACUGACGCUCAUGCACGAAAGCGUGGGGAGCAAACAGGAUUAGAUACCCUGGUAG